rnacentral:rRNA from 1 species
AGUGAACGCUGGCGGUAGGCCUAACACAUGCAAGUCGAACGGCAGCACAGUAAGAGCUUGCUCUUACGGGUGGCGAGUGGCGGACGGGUGAGGAAUACAUCGGAAUCUACUUUUUCGUGGGGGAUAACGUAGGGAAACUUACGCUAAUACCGCAUACGACCUACGGGUGAAAGCAGGGGAUCUUCGGACCUUGCGCGAUUGAAUGAGCCGAUGUCGGAUUAGCUAGUUGGCGGGGUAAAGGCCCACCAAGGCGACGAUCCGUAGCUGGUCUGAGAGGAUGAUCAGCCACACUGGAACUGAGACACGGUCCAGACUCCUACGGGAGGCAGCAGUGGGGAAUAUUGGAUAAUGGGCGCAAGCCUGAUCCAGCCAUACCGCGUGGGUGAAGAAGGCCUUCGGGUUGUAAAGCCCUUUUGUUGGGAAAGAAAAGCAGCAGGUUAAUACCCCGCUGUUCUGACGGUACCCAAAGAAUGAGCACCGGCUAACUUCGUG